UAUGAUUUAUUUAAACUUACGUAGAUCCGUUAUCUGCCACCUUGCGUUAUCUUAUUGCGUGUUCCCUAAAUAAUUAAUGCAAUAUAGGGCAUCGAUUGUGAGGUGACGGGAGGGCGCGGGGCGGGCACAGGGGCGCGGGGGUGCGCGCGGCGCACGCACGCGAUUGGCUGUCAAGCCUGCGUGAGUGCGUACCUCCCCGCGUGCGUAUACCCUCGCCCGCCCGUCCUCAGUCGCCAUUCGACCUUCGCGCGAGUGAGACGUGCCGCGACGCGAUACAAGUGACGUACGAACACCGCGUCCGCUCCCUCCCGUCAAUAGAGCCUCACUCGAAGUUUAAUUUAAACUGGGACUAAUUUAUCUGUCCAUAUGGUUCAUCUCGUAGAUAUAUUGCGUUCAGCAAAAGUUGAAUAUCCACCGCCUGUUAUUAUUAAAGUUUGCUGAGUUUUGUCAGUUUGUUGAAGGAUUUAUAACGUGCCUCACUGGUGAACAUGAAAUGUGGCGGUCUUCCCAUUGUUUAUAUUGUUUACCGUGCGUGUUUACAUUAGUUUGUUUUGAUUGAGGACUAUUUAACGUUUGUUUAAAAGACAACUUAAGAUAUUGAGACCCAAUUGUUAAGUUUGACAAUUCUACUCGCAUUUUGUUUUGUAAUCGAAAUAUUUCAAUUCGUUUAAAUAAAAUGGAAUUGAAUAAAAUA